UUAGAGUGAUGUGGGGACGGAGUAGUGACAGUGCCGCGAACUGACGGAAUAGUUCGUUAAAGGGUGUAGAAGUUGAGGAAUGCAGGCAAAUCCACAUUCCGAUUCGAACCUGAUAGUAUGGAGCGUCUUCGGACAAUCCAAUAGUGCAUGUAAUCAGACUUCCAAGAAAAUCCGCUAAACUUAAUCUUCUAGGUACCCGUACCGUAAACGGACACACGUAGUCGGGUUGAAUAUACUAAGGCGCUUGAGUGAAUCACGGUUAAGGAACUAGGCAAAUUGACCCUGUAACUUCGGGAUAAAGGGUCCCUCCUCGCAAGAGAGGGCGCAGAGAAUAGGUCCAGGCAACUGUUUAACAAAAACACAGGGCUGUGCAAAAUCGAAAGAUCACGUAUACAGCCUGACACCUGCCCGGUGCUGGAAGGUUAAGAGGAGAUGUUAUCGCAAGAGACGCAUUGAAUUGAAGCCCCAGUAAACGGCGGCCGUAACAAUAACGGUCCUAAGGUAGCGAAAUUCCUUGUCGGGUAAGUUCCGACCUGCACGAAUGGUGUAAUGAUCUGGACACUGUCUCAACCGUGAGCUCAGUGAAAUUGUAGUAUCGGUGAAGAUGCCGAUUACCCGCGAUGGGACGAAAAGACCCCGUGAACCUUUACUAUAGCUUAACAUUGAAUUUGGGCCAUUGAUGUGUAGGAUAGGUCGGAGACUAUGAAGCGGGUACGCCAGUAUUCGUGGAGUCGCUGUUGAAAUACGACCCUUUGAUUGUUUGAAUUCUAACCCGUUUUUAAUGGGGACACUGUUUGGUGGGUAGUUUGACUGGGGUGGUCGCCUCCAAAAGUGUAACGGAGGCUUCUAAAGGUACCCUCAGGACGAUUGGUAACCGUCCGUAGAGUGUAAUGGCAUAAGGGUGCUUGACUGAGAGACCGACAAGUCGAUCAGGUAGGAAACUAGAGCAUAGUGAUCCGGUGUUUCUGUAUGGAAAGGACAUCGCUCAAAGGAUAAAAGGUACUCCGGGGAUAACAGGCUGAUCCCUCCCAAGAGCUCAUAUCGACGGAGGGGUUUGGCACCUGGAUGUCGGCUCGUCACAUCCUGGGGCUGGAGAAGGUCCCAAGGGUUGGGCUGUUCGCCCAUUGAAGUGGCACGCGAGCUGGGUUCAGAACGUCGUGAGACAGUUCGGUCUCUAUCUAUCGUGGGCGUAUGAAAUUUGCGUGGCUCUGACACUAGUACGAGAGGACCGUGUUGGACUGACCUCUGGUUUACCGGUUGUGCCGCCAGGUGCAUCGCCGGGUAUCUAAGUCGGGAUUGGAUAAGUGCUGAAAGCAUCUAAGUACGAAGCCAGCCACAAGAUUAGAUUUCUUAGGGUCGUCAAAGACGAUGACGUUGAUAGGUUGCAGGUGUAUAGAUAGAAAUAUCACAGCCGAGCAAUACUAAUUGCCC
rnacentral:rRNA from 1 species